UCACUUCAUUAAGAGGUGUGUAUCCAAGUUGGCUGUGUCCCUCGCUUGACUUCAGCGCCAGGCUGAGAGUACAGUCUAGCUUGUGACAGUGUUUCUGCUGGAUUAAAGACAAUCCUAUC
rnacentral:misc_RNA from 1 species